UACGGGGGGAGCAAGCGUUGUUCGGAUUUACUGGGCGUAAAGGGCGCGUAGGCGGUCAGCACAAGUCAGUUGUGAAAUCUCCGGGCUUAACUCGGAAAGGUCAACUGAUACUGUGCGACUAGAGUGCGGAAGGGGCAACUGGAAUUCUCGGUGUAGCGGUGAAAUGCGUAGAUAUCGGUAGGAACACCCGUGGCGAAGGCGGUCUCCUGGGACGUUCUUGACGCUGAGGCGCGAAAGCUGGGGGAGCGAACGGG
rnacentral:rRNA from 1 species